rnacentral:rRNA from 1 species
UACGAAGGGAGCUAGCGUUGUUCGGAAUUACUGGGCGUAAAGCGUGCGUAGGCGGCUUGACAAGUUGGGAGUGAAAUCCCGGGGCUUAACCUCGGAAUUGCUUCCAAAACUGUCUCGCUAGAGUAUGGUAGGGGAUAGUGGAAUUCCUAGUGUAGGGGUGAAAUCCGUAGAUAUUAGGAGGAACACCAGAGGCGAAGGCGACUAUCUGGGCCAUUACUGACGCUAAGGCACGAAAGCGUGGGGAGCAAACGGGG